UAAUGUUUUAUUCCUUUGAUGAGCAAAACAGAGCUGAGCCAAACCAUUUUUUAAUCAAGCAUGUUCAAGAGACAACCUGCCCACAUGGUGAUAACAUCAAAAAAACCAAGGACUUAUCAAAGGAGAAGUUUUCCAGGAUCACUCAUACAGAAGUGUUCUCUGGACUCUACCAAACUCUCACAGACUUCUUCCUUAAAAAAAUUGAGUGGAAAAAAAAAAAAUUGAGUGGACCUGUAAAGCCUUCUGUCCUAGAGUUGAAAGAGCAGCUAAAUUCACAGUAAGCUAAUUGUAUAUGAAGAAAAAUGAUUACUUUUAUUAUAUGUGUAUCCAAAUCAUUUGUCUAGUAAGGACUCCUUAAAAAACAAAGCCCUCAAAAUUUAGGUCUCCAUCUGUUCCUUUUGGUAAAAAUUAAGAAACACAUGCAGCCUUUGUAGUGGUUACCCAUGACAGAAAACAUAGAAGCAUGCCUUAUAGCUCCUCUAAGGGGAUUUUUAAAUCCUUAUGGACAUUCCUUAAGCAGAAUUACUCAUGCUAAUUUUGUGAUGCUCUAUUGGUUUUACUUGUUUGUUAAUACAAUAACAUUCAAAGCCUAUUGUCUUAAAUCUGGACUUACCAAGAGAGAUUUCUAGCUCCAUGUGGGACAGAUUACUCCCAUAUUCCCAUUACAAGCAAUUCAAUAAGUAAGGCAAUGAAGCAUCUAUCUACGCACUAGCUGCUACUCUAAGAAACUUGAUCUUCCUGUAUUAAAACUGUUAUGUCUUGAUAUUUGAAAACCCAGAAUUCAGAAGUAAACUGGAUUGUUUACUACUAGCCCUGGUAUAUUAAACUUUGAGGAAAUUUCACAUUUUCUUUAAUGUGGUGUGGUCUGUUUAUUGUUUGUUGGCUUUUGUGUCAAAAAUUUUUCCUGUAGAAUCUUCAUAAACAAAUCUUCCUUAACACGUAUGCCACACACUUACAUGCUACAUGCCUACAAUUCUUUAGAUUUAACACCUGAAGUUCAGUAUCUCAAAUAGAAGAGUGAAAGGCAUAUCCCCAGGGUUAUAAAAAUUUAGCAGAGACUGGCCCAUGCCAUCAUGAAAUUUCUUUGAGGUUUCAUGUUUUAAAAUCUUAUAUUUUAAUUUUUUUUAAAUUACCACCAGUUU
rnacentral:lncRNA from 1 species